GUUUAGCAACUCUGGAGGAGGGUUUGAGGGGUUUGGAAGUGGUACGCCGGAGUGUAGAAGAGGCUUUGCUGAAGUUAGGAUUAGGUUUUGAGGGUGAAGUGAAGGGAGUGAAUGAAGAAGACGGCGGGUUUGAAGCUCUGGGAGGAGUGGCGGAGACGUGAGAUGCAUCGGAAUCAGAGUCUGAAUCGGAAUUCAUUGUUGUGUAGUGGCGUCGGAAAAUUGGAGGGAGAGCUCAGAGCAGGGGCUGAAGAACAGAAGAAGGGAAGAAGGUUUUCU
rnacentral:misc_RNA from 1 species